rnacentral:lncRNA from 1 species
GCAUAGGUGGUUAGAUGGUAUUUGUAUUUAAGUAUUUCUCAAGGCUUAACACUCAAUUAGGACUUUAGGAACUUAGGCCUCUACAUUGUUUGUAUAAUUAGGCCAUCCUUCUAAGAAGCAUGGAGCUUGUGAAAUGGAAGAUCUCUGGUUCUGCAGAACAUCAUAAUGAAUUUAGUAUGUAAGUUUGACCCUUGGAACUGUGAAGAGCAGAAGAGCUCUGUAAAAGAAAGGGACAAAAAUCUGCAGAGUCCUAAAGGAUGAACAAAUGGAAGAUCAUAGGUAACAUAACAUAAGCCCCUUCAAGAGAGCCCCUCAAAACAUUCCAAAAGUCUGCAAAUGACAUGAAUGCUUGAGGUAGGGGAUUUUGUUGUGAAAAUCUGGAAAGGGUGGAGUUUAACAUUUGGGGUGAGUAAUAGCUCAAACCCAAGAGAUAAAGAAAACCAAGGAAAUUAGUAGAAAAAUUGGGGAAGGCACAAGGAUUUCAGAAGCUGCUUACCUAGAUCUCCAGAGAGAGGAAGGUAGCAUCUGAUAUCUGACUUACAUAAUCAAUAAAUAUUUGUCGAAAAAAAUGUGAAUAAGGGAGCCACAUGAGGAAAAUGUUCUUUUUCCCUCAGAA